AUUGAACGCUGGCGGCAUGCCUUACACAUGCAAGUCGAACGGCAGCACGGGAGCAAUCCUGGUGGCGGAGUGGCGAACGGGUGAGUAAUAUAUCGGAACGUGCCCAGUCGUGGGGGAUAACGUAGCGAAAGCUACGCUAAUACCGCAUACGAUCUACGGAUGAAAGCGGGGGAUCGCAAGACCUCGCGCGAUUGGAGCGGCCGAUAUCAGAUUAGGUAGUUGGUGAGGUAAAGGCUCACCAAGCCGACGAUCUGUAGCUGGUCUGAGAGGACGACCAGCCACACUGGGACUGAGACACGGCCCAGACUCCUACGGGAGGCAGCAGUGGGGAAUUUUGGACAAUGGGCGCAAGCCUGAUCCAGCAAUGCCGCGUGCAGGAUGAAGGCCUUCGGGUUGUAAACUGCUUUUGUACGGAACGAAACGGUGAGCUCUAAUACAGUUUGCUAAUGACGGUACCGUAAGAAUAAGCACCGGCUAACUACGUG
rnacentral:rRNA from 1 species